GACGAACGCUGGCGGCGUGCUUAACACAUGCCAGUCGUACGGUAAGGCCCUUUCGGGGGUACACGAGUGGCGAACGGGUGAGUAACACGUGAGUAACCUGCCCACAACUUUGGGAUAACGCUAGGAAACUGGUGCUAAUACUGGAUAUGUGCUCCUGCUGCAUGGUGGGGGUUGGAAAGCUCCGGCGGUUGUGGAUGGACUCGCGGCCUAUCAGCUUGGUGGUGGGGUAGUGGCCUACCAAGGCGGCGACGGGUAGCCGGCCUGAGAGGGUGACCGGCCACAUUGGGACUGAGAUACGGCCCAGACUCCUACGGGAGGCAGCAGUGGGGAAUAUUGCACAAUGGGCGCAAGCCUGAUGCAGCAACGCCGCGUGCGGGAUGACGGCCUUCGGGUUGUAAACCGCUUUCAGCAGGGACGAAGCUUUUUGUGACGGUACCUGCAGAAGAAGCACCGGCUAACUACGUG
rnacentral:rRNA from 1 species